rnacentral:lncRNA from 1 species
CACCGGUUGAUAGCUUGUUGCAUCUGUACUCAUCUUGGCUGAGGAAGUUCUUACCUUCUUUCCUGCAAUCAACUAUUUCGAUGUUGUUUGUGGUUUUUAGUUAGAGCUAUUGCAUCGAGAGGCAUUACUACAUAAAGGGCUUAUAGUAGCAUUUACUACGACAGCAAUUCGAAAAUCACUAUCAUAGAAUCUACGGCAGCGAUUAUUUAUAACCACGGCCAUAAUUUUGACCUAUACCAAUG